rnacentral:rRNA from 1 species
UACGGAGGGUGCGAGCGUUGUCCGGAAUCACUGGGCGUAAAGGGCGCGUAGGCGGCAGGCCAAGCGUGCGGUGAAAGUCCGGGGCUCAACCCCGGAUCUGCCGUGCGGACUGGUUUGCUAGAGCACUGUAGAGGCGAGUGGAAUUCCGGGUGUAGCGGUGGAAUGCGUAGAGAUCCGGAAGAACACCGGUGGCGAAGGCGGCUCGCUGGGCAGUGGCUGACGCUGAGGCGCGACAGCGCGGGGAGCAAACAGG